rnacentral:rRNA from 1 species
GACCUGCGGAGGGAUCAUUACACAAAUAUGAAGGCGGGCUGGAACCUCUCGGGGUUACAGCCUUGCUGAAUUAUUCACCCUUGUCUUUUGCGUACUUCUUGUUUCCUUGGUGGGUUCGCCCACCACUAGGACAAACAUAAACCUUUUGUAAUUGCAAUCAGCGUCAGUAACAAAUUAAUAAUUACAACUUUCAACAACGGAUCUCUUGGUUCUGGCAUCGAUGAAGAACGCAGCGAAAUGCGAUAAGUAGUGUGAAUUGCAGAAUUCAGUGAAUCAUCGAAUCUUUGAACGCACAUUGCGCCCUUUGGUAUUCCAAAGGGCAUGCCUGUCCGAGCGUCAUUUGUACCCUCAAGCUUUGCUUGGUGUUGGGCGUCUUGUCUCUAGCUUUGCUGGAGACUCGCCUUAAAGUAAUUGGCAGCCGGCCUACUGGUUUCGGAGCGCAGCACAAGUCGCACUCUCUAUCAGCAAAGGUCUAGCAUCCAUUAAGCCUUUUUUUCAACUUUUGACCUCGGAUCAGGUAGGGAUACCCGCUGAACUUAAGCAUAUCAAUAAGCGGAGGAA